GUUGUAUGGUUAAGUGACUAAGCGUACACGGUGGAUGCCUUGGCAGUCAGAGGCGAUGAAGGACGUAUUAACUUGCGAUAAGCCCAGAUUAGGUAGUAAAAACCACUUGAGUCUGGGAUUUCCGAAUGGGGAAACCCACUAGCAUAAGCUAGUAUCGCUGCGUGAAUACAUAGCGCAGCGAGGCGAACCGGGGGAACUGAAACAUCUAAGUACCCCGAGGAAAAGAAAUCAACCGAGAUUCCGAAAGUAGCGGCGAGCGAAAUUGGACUAGCCCUUAAGCUUUUUAUGCGUCAGGUGAAACUUCUGGAAAGUUGUGCGAUACAGGGUGAUAGCCCCGUAACCGGCAACGCAUAUAAAGUGAAAUCGAGUAGGGCGGGACACGUGAUAUCCUGUCUGAAUAUGGGGGGACCAUCCUCCAAGGCUAAAUACUACUGACUGACCGAUAGUGAACCAGUACCGUGAGGGAAAGGCGAAAAGAACCCCUGUGAGGGGAGUGAAAUAGAACCUGAAACCGUGUACGUACAAGCAGUAGGAGCACCUUCGUGGUGUGACUGCGUACCUUUUGUAUAAUGGGUCAGCGACUUAUAUUCAGUGGCAAGGUUAACCAUCUAGGGGAGCCGUAGGGAAACCGAGUCUUAACUGGGCGUUCAGUCUCUGGAUAUAGACCCGAAACCAGGUGAUCUAGCCAUGGGCAGGUUGAAGGUUGAGUAACAUCAACUGGAGGACCGAACCGACUAAUGUUGAAAAAUUAGCGGAUGACUUGUGGCUAGGGGUGAAAGGCCAAUCAAACCUGGAGAUAGCUGGUUCUCCCCGAAAGCUAUUUAGGUAGCGCCUCGGACGAAUACUACUGGGGGUAGAGCACUGUUAAGGCUAGGGGGUCAUCCCGACUUACCAACCCUUUGCAAACUCCGAAUACCAGUAAGUACUAUCCGGGAGACACACGGCGGGUGCUAACGUCCGUCGUGGAGAGGGAAACAACCCAGACCGCCAGCUAAGGUCCCAAAUUACUACUAAGUGGGAAACGAUGUGGGAAGGCUCAGACAGCCAGGAUGUUGGCUUAGAAGCAGCCAUCAUUUAAAGAAAGCGUAAUAGCUCACUGGUCGAGUCGGCCUGCGCGGAAGAUGUAACGGGGCUAAGUAGUAAACCGAAGCUGCGGCAAUGUACUUUAGUGCAUUGGGUAGGGGAGCGUUCUGUAAGCGGUUGAAGGUGUGUGGUAACGCAUGCUGGACGUAUCAGAAGUGCGAAUGCUGACAUGAGUAACGAUAAAGGGGGUGAAAAACCUCCUCGCCGGAAGACCAAGGGUUCCUGUCCAACGUUAAUCGGGGCAGGGUAAGUCGACCCCUAAGGCGAGGCCGAAAGGCGUAGUCGAUGGGAAACGGGUUAAUAUUCCCGUACUUCUUACAAUUGCGAUGGGGGGACGGAGAAGGCUAGGUGGGCCUGGCGACGGUUGUCCAGGUUCAAGUGCGUAGGCUUAAGAGUUAGGUAAAUCCGGCUCUUUUUAAGGCUGAGACACGACGUCGAGCUACUACGGUAGUGAAGUCAUUGAUGCCAUGCUUCCAGGAAAAGCCUCUAAGCUUCAGAUUGUAAGGAAUCGUACCCCAAACCGACACAGGUGGUCGGGUAGAGAAUACCAAGGCGCUUGAGAGAACUCGGGUGAAGGAACUAGGCAAAAUGGUACCGUAACUUCGGGAGAAGGUACGCUCUCGACGGUGAAGUCCCUUGCGGAUGGAGCUAUUGAGAGUCGCAGAUACCAGGUGGCUGCAACUGUUUAUUAAAAACACAGCACUGUGCAAAAUCGUAAGAUGACGUAUACGGUGUGACGCCUGCCCGGUGCCGGAAGGUUAAUUGAUGGGGUUAGACUUCGGUCGAAGCUCUUGAUCGAAGCCCCGGUAAACGGCGGCCGUAACUAUAACGGUCCUAAGGUAGCGAAAUUCCUUGUCGGGUAAGUUCCGACCUGCACGAAUGGCGUAAUGAUGGCCACGCUGUCUCCACCCGAGACUCAGUGAAAUUGAAAUCGCUGUGAAGAUGCAGUGUACCCGCGGCUAGACGGAAAGACCCCGUGAACCUUUACUACAGCUUGGCACUGAACAUUGACCCUACAUGUGUAGGAUAGGUGGGAGGCUUUGAAGCACAGUCGCUAGAUUGUGUGGAGCCGUCCUUGAAAUACCACCCUUGUAGUGUUGAUGUUCUAACGUUGACCCCUAAUCGGGGUUGCGGACAGUGCCUGGUGGGUAGUUUGACUGGGGCGGUCUCCUCCCAAAGCGUAACGGAGGAGCACGAAGGUGGGCUAAUCACGGUUGGACAUCGUGAGGUUAGUGCAAUGGCAUAAGCCCGCUUGACUGCGAGAAUGACGGUUCGAGCAGGUGCGAAAGCAGGUCAUAGUGAUCCGGUGGUUCUGAAUGGAAGGGCCAUCGCUCAACGGAUAAAAGGUACUCCGGGGAUAACAGGCUGAUACCGCCCAAGAGUUCAUAUCGACGGCGGUGUUUGGCACCUCGAUGUCGGCUCAUCACAUCCUGGGGCUGAAGUCGGUCCCAAGGGUAUGGCUGUUCGCCAUUUAAAGUGGUACGCGAGCUGGGUUUAGAACGUCGUGAGACAGUUCGGUCCCUAUCUGCCGUGGGCGUUGGAAGAUUGAAGGGGGCUGCUCCUAGUACGAGAGGACCGGAGUGGACGAACCUCUGGUGUUCGGGUUGUGUCGCCAGACGCAUUGCCCGGUAGCUAAGUUCGGAAUCGAUAACCGCUGAAAGCAUCUAAGCGGGAAGCGAGCCCUGAGAUGAGUCUUCCCUGAUACUUUAAGUAUCCUAAAGGGUUGUUCGAGACUAGAACGUUGAUAGGCAGGGUGUGUAAGCGUUGUGAGGCGUUGAGCUAACCUGUACUAAUUGCCCGUGAGGCUUAACCAUACAACACCCAAGGGGUUU
rnacentral:rRNA from 1 species